GACGAACGCUGGCGGCGUGCUUAACACAUGCAAGUCGAACGGAACGGCCCUGCUUUUGUGGGGUGCUCGAGUGGCGAACGGGUGAGUAACACGUGAGUAACCUGCCCUUGACUUUGGGAUAACUUCAUGAAACUGGGGCUAAUCCCGGAUAAGAGCUCCUGCUGCAUGGUGGGGGUUGGUUAGUUUCGGUGGUUGGGGAUGGAAUGGCGCCGUAUCAGCUUGUUGGUUGGGUAGUGGAUGAGCAUGACUAUGACACGUGGCAGGGCUGGUCGGAGAACAGGCCACGCUGGACUGGGGAUGAGGCACGGACCCCACUGGGAGGCAGCAGAGCAGAAGAUUGUACAGUGCGCGGAAGGCUGAUGCAGUAAAGCAGCGUGCGGGAUGACGGGCAUCGGUUAGGAUAGUAAAUCUGUCUGUGACGAAGUGUGAGUGACGGUAAUGGGUAAAUAAGCACCGGCUAACUACGUG
rnacentral:rRNA from 1 species